GGCCCGUUGGUCAAGUGGUUAAGACACCGCCCUUUCACGGCGGUAACACGGGUUCGAAUCCCGUACGGGUCN
rnacentral:tRNA from 2 species